rnacentral:tRNA from 1 species
GGGCAAGUAGCUCAAAUGGAUAGAGCACGUGCCCUCUAAGCACGGGGUUAUGCGUUCAAACCGCAUCUUGCCUACCA